rnacentral:rRNA from 1 species
UACGUAGGGUGCGAGCGUUGUCCGGAAUUAUUGGGCGUAAAGAGCUCGUAGGCGGUGUGUCACGUCGUUCGUGAAAACCUGCAGCUUAACUGUGGGCGUGCGGUCGAUACGGGCAUCACUGGAGUUCGGCAGGGGAGACUGGAAUUCCUGGUGUAGCGGUGAAAUGCGCAGAUAUCGGGAGGAAUACCUAUGGCGAAAGCAGGCUACUGGACCGUCACUGACUCUGAUCUGCGAAAGCUAGGGGAGCAAACAGG